AUUGAACGCUAGCGGGAUGCUUUACACAUGCAAGUCGAACGAGUGGCGGACGGGUGAGUAAUAUAUCGGACCGUGCCCAGUAGCGGGGGAUAACUACUCGAAAGCGUGGCUAAUUCCGCAUACUAUUGGAGCGGCCGAUUUCGGAUUGGCUAGUUGGUGGGGUAAAGGCUCGCCAAGGCAACGAUCCGUAGCUGGUUUGAGAGGACGACCGGCCAAACUGGGACUGAAACACGGCCCAGACUCCUACGGAAGGCAGCAGUGGGGAAUUUUGGACAAUGGGGGAAACCCUGAUCAAGACAUCCCGGGUGGAGGAGAAGGCCUUCGGGUUGUAAAGUACUUUUGGCAGAGAGGCGGUAUCUGCAGAAUAAGCAACGGCUAACUACGUGCCAGCAGCCGCGGUAAUUC
rnacentral:rRNA from 1 species